GACGAACGCUGGCGGCGUGCUUAACACAUGCAAGUCGAACGGAAAGGCCCUGCUUUUGUGGGGUGCUCGAGUGGCGAACGGGUGAGUAACACGUGAGUAGCCUGCCCUUGACUUUGGGAUAACUUCAGGAAACUGGGGCUAAUACCGGAUAGGAGCUCCUGCUGCAUGGUGGGGGUUGGAAAGUUUCGGCGGUUGGGGAUGGACUCGCGGCUUAUCAGCUUGUUGGCGGGGUAGUGGCUUACCAAGGCUUUGACGGGUAGCCGGCCUGAGAGGGUGACCGGCCACAUUGGGACUGAGAUACGGCCCAGACUCCUACGGGAGGCAGCAGUGGGGAAUAUUGCACAAUGGGCGGAAGCCUGAUGCAGCAACGCCGCGUGCGGGAUGACGGCCUUCGGGUUGUAAACCGCUUUCGCCUGUGACGAAGCGUGAGUGACGGUAAUGGGUAAAGAAGCACCGGCUAACUACGUG
rnacentral:rRNA from 1 species